ACAGGUGGCGCCAUAUGGCGCUGAAAAGAGAAGCCGGUAUAAGCCGGCGCGGUCCCGCCACUGUAAGGGGAGCGAAUCUGCAUAGUUACGUCACUGGAAAAUUUCUGGGAAGGCGCAGAGGAGCGAUGAACCGAGCCAGGAGAACUGCCUGUCCG
rnacentral:ncRNA from 1 species